GGGGCUAUAGCUCAGCUGUGAGAGCGCCUGCUUUGCACGCAGGAGGUCUGCGGUUCGAUCCCGCAUAGCUCCACCA
rnacentral:tRNA from 2 species